ensembl:lncRNA
GUGAAAGUGGUGAAAGCUCUUUUUUUAACGUUAAUGAGCAGAAAAGAAAGAAAGGAGCAGAGGCUCUAAUAGAGAUUACUCAGAGGGAGAUGCUAGACGAGGUCUCCUUCCUGACCUGGCGGGUGGGGCUCAAAACAGGUGGGGCUCACCUGCCCUCAAUGACGGGUCACCACUGCACACUGCAUCGUUGCAGCCUUGCAGACAAGCAUCCGCCCAGUGCUGAUCAGCCUGACUGCUUACAACAACAACAAAAACUGUGUGGGAGGAAGAUAGUUAUUUUACACACACUCACUCAGCACAGGAUGAGUGUGUGUAUGAAGACGGCGAGGACCAAAGUUCUUACUCCAGCUGUCCUGCCACCCACAAAUCUCUGUGAAUUGUGGCCAGUGGGUUGAACAGGCAGAGGAAUGCUUUCAUUUUGCUGCCUAUGUAUUGGAAUGGCAACAUUAAAGGAAUUUAAAACAUGCCCCUAAUGUAUUAAUAGGCAUCUGUUUGCUAUAAGAGAGUGCUAAUUAACGGCUAUGAUUGUGGAGGAGAAAGAGAGAAACAGGGGGGUUGAGAGAGAGAGGGAGAGGUUCUGUUUCACUUGCUUUGGCAAUGUUAACAUAUGCUUCCCAUGCCAAUAAAGCCCAUUGAAUUGAGAGAGCGAGAGCCAUAAUGUUUGUAUUUAGUAUAAAUUGCUGUUUUUGUUUGGUGAUUUGAAAGGCAGGAUAAACAGAAUAAAGAAUGAACUUUUCUGUUUACAUUAGCAGAGUAGUUAGCCCCAUAUGUAUAUGCCACUUCCACUACUUGCUCCA